rnacentral:lncRNA from 1 species
UAGAACAUGCCGCCUGAUGGGUUACAUCAGGACCGCGUGCGCACCGGUAAUGAUCAUGGACAUGUAAUAAGAUAUUUAUGGGUUUGCCCUGGUCGAGCAUGGCUCUUUGGGCUGAUUUGUGUAAAUUGCCGGAGGUAAGGUCCCUGGUCGAGCAUUGCUCUCGGGGCGCCGGCUUAUUUGGAUACUUAAGUGACCAGACUAAAGGUAAGGUCCCUGGUCGAGCAUUGCUCUCGGGGCGCCAGUCUUAUUGGAUUAAGAGAGCCGAAUGACUACUAGAUUUCUUAUUUGGAUACUUAAGUGACCAGAUUGGAGGUAAGGUCCCUGGUCGAGCAUUGCUCUCGGGGCGCCAGUCUUAUUGGAU